GACGAACGCUGGCGGCGUGCUUAACACAUGCAAGUCGAACGGAAAGGCUCCAGCUUGCUGGAGUGCUCGAGUGGCGAAAGGGUGAGUAACACGUGGGUAAUCUGCCCUGCACUCUGGGAUAAGCCUGGGAAACUUGGUCUAGUACAGGAUAUGACCUUUCUCCUUAUGUGGUUUGGUGGCAAGUUUUUCGGUUUAGGAUGAGAUCGCGGCCUAUCAGCUUGUUGGUGGGGUGAUGGAUUACCAAGGCGACGACGGGUAGCCGGCCUGAGCGGGGGAGCGGCCACGUUGGAUCUGAGAUACGGCACAGACUACUACGGGACGCAGCGGUGGGGAAUAUUACACAAUGGGAGGAAGCCUAAUGCAGCGACGCCGCGUGAGGGAAGACGGCAUUCGGGUUGUAACCCUCUUUCAGCAGGGACGAAGCGUAAGUGACGGUACCUGCAGAAGAAGCACCGGCUAACUAUGUG
rnacentral:rRNA from 1 species